rnacentral:rRNA from 1 species
ACGAACGCUGGCGGCGUGCCUAAUACAUGCAAGUCGAACGGUCUUUCUAUGGAAGCUUGCUUCCACUGAGAAGAUAGUGGCGAACGGGUGAGUAACACGUGGGUAACCUGCCCAUAAGAGGGGGAUAACAUCCGGAAACGGGUGCUAAUACCGCAUAGUUUUCUUGAUCGCAUGAUUGAGAAAGGAAAGACGGCCUUUGUGCUGUCGCUUAUGGAUGGACCCGCGGCGUAUUAGUUAGUUGGUGAGGUAAUGGCUCACCAAGACGAUGAUACGUAGCCGACCUGAGAGGGUGAUCGGCCACAUUGGGACUGAGACACGGCCCAAACUCCUACGGGAGGCAGCAGUAGGGAAUCUUCCGCAAUGGACGAAAGUCUGACGGAGCAACGCCGCGUGAGUGAAGAAAGGUUUUCGGAUCGUAAAACUCUGUUGUCAGAGAAGAACAAGUUGGAGAGUAACUGCUCCAGCCUUGACGGUAUCUGACCAGAAAGCCACGGCUAACUACGUGCCAGCAGCCGC